rnacentral:tRNA from 1 species
GCCCAUGUAGCUCAGUUUGUAGAGCACACCCUUGGUAAGGGUGAGGUCAGCAGUUCAAAUCUGCUCAUGGGCUCCA